rnacentral:sRNA from 1 species
GACUAAGGUUCGAUUCGAGCGAAAGCGAGAAAGCGUUGCCGCAGGCAACGACCCGAAGGGCGAAGCGCGCAGCGCUGAGUAAUCCUUCCCCCGUCAUCC